UACAGAGGGGGCUAGCGUUGUUCGGAAUCACUGGGUGUAAAGGGUGCGUAGGCUGUCCGUUAAGUCUGAUGUGAAAGCCCUGGGCUCAACUCAGGAAUUGCAUUGGAAACUGGCGGACUCAGAGUACCGGAGAGGGAAGCGGAAUUCCUGGUGUAGCGGUGAAAUGCGCAGAUAUCAGGAGGAACACCGGUGGCGAAGGCGGAUCUCUGGGCCUUACCUGACGCUCAGGCGCGAAAGCUAGGGGAGCGAACUGG
rnacentral:rRNA from 1 species